rnacentral:rRNA from 1 species
GUGAGAUGUUUGGUCAAGUCCUAUAACGAGCGAAACCCUCGUUUUGUGUUGCUGAGACAUGCGCCUAAGGAGAAAUUGCCACCGAGUGACGUGCCAGCGCUACUACUUGAUUGAGUGCCAGCACGUAGCUGUGCUUUCAGCAAGAAUUUCACCAUUGGGAGCCGGUGCCUUUCGAAGCACUUUCACGUGUGAACCGAAGUCGUCUUGCCCAAGACCCACGGAGACCUACCUAUAGUGACGUCAAAGUACCAGUGAGCAUGGAGGUUUGGUUGAAAUUGGUUACGACGACGUCGAGUUGGCGGCGGAGGAAGACUCGGCAUGAAGGCCAGAAAAUGGUGUGGAACGUAGUGGUAAUAGUACGCGCCCCGCUCCGAAACAAAGAAAAAGGUGCGUGCCGCACUCACGAGGGACUGCCAGUGAGAUACUGGAGGAAGGUGGGGAUGACGUCAAGUCCGCAUGGCCCUUAUGGGCUGGGCCACACACGUGCUAAAUUGGCAAUGACAAUGGGAAGCAAGGCUGUAAGGCGGAGCGAAUCCGGAAAGAUUGCCUCAGUUCGGAUUGUUCUCUGCAACUCGGGAACAUGAAGUUGAAAUCGCUAGUAAUCGCGGAUCAGCAUGCCGCGGUGAAUAUGUACCCGGGCCCUGUACACACCGCCCGUCACACCCUGGGAAUUGGUUUCGCCCGAAGCAUCGGACCAAUGAUCACCCAUGACUUCUGU